GACGAACGCUGGCGGCGUGCUUAACACAUGCAAGUCGAACGGAGCGCUUUUGGCAGGGACUUCGGUCCUGAGUAUAGUGGCGCACGGGUGAGUAACACGUGAAUAAUCUACCUCCGAGUGGGGAAUAACCUGGAGAAAUCUAGGCUAAUACCGCAUAACACUUACGAGUCAAAGCAGCAAUGCGCUUGGAGAGGAGUUCGCGGCAGAUUAGUUAGUUGGCGGGGUAAUGGCCCACCAAGACGAUGAUCUGUAUCCGGCCUGAGAGGGCGCACGGACACACUGGAACUGAAACACGGUCCAGACUCCUACGGGAGGCAGCAGUGGGGAAUUUUUGCGCAAUGGGGGAAGCCCUGACGCAGCAACGCCGCGUGGAGGAUGAAGUAUCUUGGUACGUAAACUCCUUUCGAUGGGGAAGAUAAUGACGGUACCCAUAGAAGAAGCCCCGGCUAACUUCGUGCCAGCAGCCGCUGU
rnacentral:rRNA from 1 species